rnacentral:rRNA from 1 species
GACGAACGCUGGCGGCGUGCUUAACACAUGCAAGUCGAACGGAAAGGCCCUGCUUGCAGGGUGCUCGAGUGGCGAACGGGUGAGUAACACGUGGGUGAUCUGCCCCUUACUUUGGGAUAAGCCUGGGAAACUGGGUCUAAUACUGGAUAGGACCAUGCUGUAGGUGGUGUGGUGGAAAGAUUAGUUUCGGUAAGGGAUGAGCUCGCGGCCUAUCAGCUUGUUGGUGGGGUAAUGGCCUACCAAGGCGUCGACGGGUAGCCGGCCUGAGAGGGUGGACGGCCACAUCGGGACUGAGAUACGGCCCAGACUCCUACGGGAGGCAGCAGUGGGGAAUAUUGCACAAUGGGCGCAAGCCUGAUGCAGCGACGCCGCGUGGGGGAUGACGGCCUUCGGGUUGUAAACUCCUUUCAGCCAUGACGAAGCCCUUGUGGUGACGGUAGUGGUAGAAGAAGCACCGGCUAACUACGUG